UCCUACGGGAGGCAGCAGUGGGGAAUAUUGCGCAAUGGGCGAAAGCCUGACGCAGCGACGCCGCGUGAGGGACGAAGGCCUUCGGGUCGUAAACCUCUUUCAGCAGGGACGAAGCGAAAGUGACGGUACCUGCAGAAGAAGCACCGGCUAACUACGUGCCAGCAGCCGCGGUAAUACGUAGGGUGCAAGCGUUGUCCGGAAUUAUUGGGCGUAAAGAGCUCGUAGGCGGCUUGUCACGUCUGCUGUGAAAACUCGGGGCUCAACCCCGAGCCUGCAGUGGAUACGGGCUAGCUAGAGUGCGGUAGGGGAGUCUGGAAUUCCUGGUGUAGCGGUGAAAUGCGCAGAUAUCAGGAGGAACACCGGUGGCGAAGGCGGGACUCUGGACCGAUACUGACGCUGAGGAGCGAAAGCGUGGGGAGCGAACAGGAUUAGAUACCCUGGUAGUCCACGCCGUAAACGUUGGGCGCUAGGUGUGGGGAACUUUCCACGUUCUCCGUGCCGCAGCUACGCAUUAAGCGCCCCGCCUGGGGAGUACGGCCGCAAGGCUAAAACUCAAAGGAAUUGACGGGGGCCCGCACAAGCAGCGGAGCAUGUGGCUUAAUUCGAUGCAACGCGAAGAACCUUACCAAGGCUUGACAUAUACCGAAAACUGUCAGAGAUGGCAGGUCCGCAAGGGCGGUAUACAGGUGGUGCAUGGUUGUCGUCAGCUCGUGUCGUGAGAUGUUGGGUUAAGUCCCGCAACGAGCGCAACCCUUGUUCUAUGUUGCCAGCGAGUAAUGUCGGGGACUCAUAGGAGACUGCCGGGGUCAACUCGGAGGAAGGUGGGGAUGACGUCAAAUCAUCAUGCCCCUUAUGUCUUGGGCUGCACACAUGCUACAAUGGCCGGUACAAAGGGCUGCGAAACCGCAAGGUGGAGCGAAUCCCAAAAAGCCGGUCUCAGUUCGGAUUGGGGUCUGCAACUCGACCCCAUGAAGUCGGAGUUGCUAGUAAUCGCAGAUCAGCA
rnacentral:rRNA from 1 species